rnacentral:tRNA from 1 species
UAUAUUUUAGUGUAAGGUGCACGAAAAUUUUUGAUAUUUUUAGGAAUAGUUUAAGUCUAUUAAAUAUAG